AUUGAACGCUGGCGGCAUGCCUUACACAUGCAAGUCGAACGGUAACAGGUCUUCGGAUGCUGACGAGUGGCGAACGGGUGAGUAAUGCAUCGGAACGUGCCCAGUAGUGGGGGAUAGCCCGGCGAAAGCCGGAUUAAUACCGCAUACGACCUGAGGGUGAAAGGGGGGGAUUGCAAGACCUCUCGCUAUUGGAGCGGCCGAUGUCAGAUUAGCUAGUUGGUGGGGUAAAGGCCUACCAAGGCAACGAUCUGUAGUUGGUCUGAGAGGACGACCAGCCACACUGGGACUGAGACACGGCCCAGACUCCUACGGGAGGCAGCAGUGGGGAAUUUUGGACAAUGGGCGCAAGCCUGAUCCAGCAAUGCCGCGUGCAGGAAGAAGGCCUUCGGGUUGUAAACUGCUUUUGUCAGGGAAGAAAUCUUCUGGGUUAAUACCUCGGGAGGAUGACGGUACCUGAAGAAUAAGCACCGGCUAACUACGUGCCAGCCGCCGCGGUAAGAC
rnacentral:rRNA from 1 species